AUUCUGGGCUCAGGUUUGCUUAGUGUUUUAUUCCUGCAUUGUUCACUGAAGCCCUUGGCAGCUGCAGCUCAGUCACCGGCCAGUGUAAGGACAGCUCCUGCUCUCUUGGGAGAGUGGAAACAGACAAACAUGAUGUCAGGCAUGCAGAAACCCUUUGCUAUACUCCCUCGCCCUUUGGGUUCAAAAAGCCUAACUCCUCUGUAUAAGAUUCAGGAAAAUGACAAUAUGUAACAUUAUUCAAUUACAUCCAAACAAUUCUUGGAACUUGGCAAUCACAAAGCAGAGCCUCAUGGUGAGCAGAAGCAAAGCAAAGGCCGUAUUUUCCUGCAACUAACAAUUUCUUCCUAUAGUAAAGUUUAAGUCUCCAGAGGGGCCAGAGAAAUGAUGCUGUUUCCAGAUAAAGUGUGCAUAGAUUACACUGUCGACUACCUCUGCCACAUUCAGUUCCAGAGGCUCUGGCCGGAAAAGAGAAAGCUGCUGCUUUAAGAACAUUUGCAUCAUUGGACUAACCUUCAUGUGGAUAUUUCUUCCAAAGGGAGAAGCUGAAAUUCCUCACCCACAAUAGGAGAAGCAGACUGGGCAUCAUUCUCUAAAGUGCUGUUGGGAGUAGGAAAGAGCAGAACUGGCAGCUUGUUAAAAGUGUUCGUUGCCAAGGUGACACCUGAAUGGAGAGGUGGAUACUUCCAUGGAGAACUGGAAACUUAACCAAGGCUUAGACUUGACUGUAUUUCCAAAGGUCUGUGAGGAGUCAGCCAAGUUCUUUACUGAUAUACCAUGGAGAACCCAAGGAAGGACCUGGAACUAAACCUGAGGGAGUCAGGCUGGCAGGCAAGUCUGGCUCAACCUGGACACUCCAUGGAAUAAGAGAAUCAAGGCAAACAGCUGUUAUAUGGAACUUCAAGCUUAAGAAAGCAAAUAACCCGAUUUAAAAAUAGGCAAACUGUCAGAACAGAAGACAGCUUAUGAAAGAAGACAUACAGAUACCAGGUUGCCUUGGUCAUGGUGUCUCUUUACAGCAGUAGAAAGGUAACAAACACAGAAGUUGCGACCAGGAAGUGGGCCUUUGCUGAGAAUCUGACCACGUUGCUAUUUGGGAGAAUAUGGAGGCCUUUAGAAUUUUGUGUUAGGGUCCUCGAGAAGUCCCAUAAAAGACCACCAGACACGAUGCAAUCAGCAAGAGUGUUUCCUAUCUCGAGAGUAAAGACACCAGUGUGCUGGGGCUGCACAUCCAACACAAAGGUGAAAAUGGCAAGCCCCAAGAAAAGCUCACAGGCUCUUCUAUCCACGUUGUUUUUCCCAUUCUUAGGCAAGUCUGGACAAGUCCUAGGCUUUGUCCUUAUUUGGUUAUUACCUGUAGGGAGGAAGGGGGAUUGGCUGAGGCCUUGUUCUUAACUGAGUUUUUAGGAGCCUGUCAUGGUAUUUGCCUGGCCUUCUCACUUUGGACUAAAGUAGUUGAAUGCUGUAAGAAGAACUUAAUUGACUGUCCUAGCAGGAACUUGGAAGACAGUAGUUCUGAGAGUAACAUGGACUGUGGAAUACCAGCUCCAGAUGUUUCAGAGAGACACAACAUUAGUAAUUAGGCUAGAGACCAUUAUUUGGCCAAGGAUGUGCCUACCUUCUGCCCUUGUUCAAAGAAUUUUCUGAAGGCGAAAUUGAAAAUUAAUGAACUAAUUUCUUUGACAGAGGAGAUUUUUAAGGCAGCCUAAUAUUGACUAUGUUGUGUGGUUAUUAGUGAUCAUUCUUUUGCAGAUCAACUGUGAUAAAAAGAAAUAAAAAAAAGGUACACUUCAAAGAGAAAAAUGGCACCAGGAAAUUUAAGGUUGCAGCCAAGGCUUGUGCUGAUAGAGCUAAGGAGAGAAAGGAGAGUCCUGAUCCAAAUUGGAAUAAAAGGAGGGAAGCUCUAAGGGCAAGACCUCACCCAGCUAAGCCUAUAAACUUGUAACAGGAAAAUACUAAAGGAUUGUCUGCGCCUCAAAAGCAAUAACAAAUGGCAGCUGCUGUGAUUGUGAUUCAAGGGGUCAGGCUCCACCCAAGCAGGCAGCUGAACUUGGCAUGUUGUCUAUGUGGUUCUGGCUUUAAGGUCAUGAAGGUACCUGAAUAAAGGGCUGUGAAUUCUUCCUUCAUGAUUAAGGAGAGUCACUGAGGCCAGGCAUGUGGCAGGGGAUUUCCUGCAUGGAGGCCCUGAGAGGCCAUUGUGUACAGCUAUAAAAGUGAAGCCUGGAUUGCAUUGGAGACCUCAUUUUAGAGGUACCAGAGCUGUGGGAUAUCUGCAAAGGGAAGCUACACACAGGGAAUGGAAUUACCCUGAAAGAGAGGUGUUGUGUGUAGCAAAGCUGGGAGGGCGGAGCCAUCUACAUCUACAUUUGGAGUUUGCCCUGCUGGGUUUCAUUCCUGGCUUUUGUCCAGUAUAUCUUUACUGUACCCCAGUUCCUCCCAUUUGGAAUGGUAAUGUAUAUUCUGUGCCAUUGUAUGUUGGAGAAAUGUGAUUUGAUUUUUGAUUUUGCAGGGUGUGAUGGCUAUUCUUGCUUGUCAACUUGACUACAUCUGGAAUGUGUUGCUACAUGACCACACAUGCACAGUCCAGUAGCCAAAUCGAAUUGGAAGUUUCUGAUCAGAAGUUUAUGCAUCAUUUUCUUCUUAAGGCAGAAGUUACAGAAGACAAGCAAGCUUGCAUUCGGAGUAUUUCCAGGUGACUACAGGGUAUGAAAUGGCGAGUGAGCCCAUGGUCUCUUGAUGGGCAUUCUUCAACUUUAGCGUGUAUCAGAGGCUCUUGUACCCUAAAAUACAAUUUUUAAGUUUCACCUCGGGAGAGUCUGACUCAGUAGAUUUGGGGUUGGCUUUGAAAAUCUACAUUUUGGUUUACAUUUUUAUAAUCUACAUUUUCUUCCAGCAGCUGGGGUACGUGUUUUAGAACCAUGGGUGAAGUACUCAGCGAGGACCAGCAUGUUUCUGUCAUGCUGUAGAGUUGCUGAGGUUGGGAAGAGUCUGGUCAUUGUAAACUACCUAAUACUGAAAAUAAGAGAAAAGAUGUCCCUCAAAGUCUGAAGUUCUAAACUACACACUUUUGACUGAGUCCCUCAGAAGCAAAGUCUCUGAUGGGUACUUGAGUGUAACCCCAGGUUUUUGGUAUAGUCUCAAGAAGAACAGAGUAAGGAUAUAGGACCAGGGUAAGGUAAGGAGGUAAGCAAAUGUGUGGUCUCAGGUGAAGGCCAGCUUUGGCCCAUCCAACCUGGGCACUGGGACAUGUGUUACACUGUAUAGUUGGUCUUACCCUGACGGAAUGAGAUCAGUCUUUUGUAGUUCAUUCACAUCAGUGUGUCACUGAUUUUGAGCUGCACUGGGGUGGAUACGCAUCAUAACAGCCUAUUAAUAAAGUGACUCUGUUGCCACUUGAGGCAUUUCUCAUGAAAGACUUCCUCUAGAGGCACUGGUAAGCCAUGCCUCAUGAAAGCUGAGUGAUUGGUGUAUAGCCAAGCACAGAGAAAGCAGGAGGGGCCCAUCAGCGUCCAGCAUGCUUUGACAACACAGUUACACUGGAGUCUUCUCACAGAUGACUCCAAGUUUUGGUCACUGUGGCCACUCUUGCUGUAACAUUUUAUGUAAUAAGCUUGCUGAUUUUGUGAUUCCUUUUAUAAUUAUGAGGGAAAACAUGGACAAUAUAGACACUUGCCUUUUACUAGAAUUUGUUAUCCUACUGCAACGCAUAUAAAACAUGACAGUCUCCUCUGGCAAUUCUGAUAGCCAUCAUCAAGAAGAGGAACAUGAUUUCAAAUAUUGAAUUAUGGAUUCCCAGGCUGCUGUAAAAUCAUAAUCAUUUGCAGAUGAUUCUGUUUCAUGCUUCUUGUAAUGAUAUUGUUUAUUGGAAGGAGGUUCCCCUGCUUGGAACUUUGAAUGAGAAAUGUGCUGUUCUGGAAACUACUGAACCUGUUGUCAUUGGUUACUUGGCUACAUGAAAUAAAACAACUUCUUCUAAAUUG